CGGACGGGUGGGUAACGCGUGGGUAACGUAGCCUCGUACUGGGGGACAACAGUUAGAAAUGACUGCUAAUACCGCAUAAGACGCACAGUAUCGCAUGAUACAGUGUGAAAAACUACCGGUGGUACAAGAUGGACCGCGUCUGAUUAGCUAGUUGGUAAGGUAACGGCUUACCAAGGCGACGAUCAGUAGCCGACCUGAGAGGGUGACCGGCCACAUUGGGACUGAGACACGGCCCAA
rnacentral:rRNA from 1 species